rnacentral:rRNA from 1 species
UACGUAGGGUGCAAGCGUUGUCCGGAAUUAUUGGGCGUAAAGAGCUCGUAGGCGGUUUGUCGCGUCUGCUGUGAAAACUCGGGGCUUAACCCCGGGCCUGCAGUAGGUACGGGCAGACUAGAGUGCGGUAGGGGAGACUGGAAUUCCUGGUGUAGCGGUGAAAUGCGCAGAUAUCAGGAGGAACACCGGUGGCGAAGGCGGGUCUCUGGGCCGUAACUGACGCUGAGGCGCGAAAGCGUGGGGAGCAAACAGG